GUUAACGUGAAAUAUCGAGAUUUGCAAAACAAUAAUGCUGCAUUGUUUUGAAAAAGUAAUGUGAAAUGAAUUGUGAUCAUUUUUUUUUCUAUCUGAAACUAUAACUUUAAGUUAUGAUUGCAAAUUCAGUUAAAUAUGAACGUCAUAAAGUCCACACUGUGAAACAAGUAUAAAAUGGGGGAAAAACAAGUUAUGGGAGCAACCAACUUCAAAAGAGGAGGGGUAAUGUUUUUUUUUCUUUUCUAGGUUUUUCGACGCUAUAAAGCAAUUGAUUUUUUUUUCAAAAUUUUAACACUAUAGGGUAAAGGGAAAAUCUGGAUUCAGAAUUUUUUGUUUGUAAUCUGCA
rnacentral:lncRNA from 1 species